AAUACCUUUCCCUCGGCCCAGCAAAUAUUUAGCAACAAGAUAACUUGCUAUGACAAGCACCAAAUUCAUUUAUCUUUCCUCUCUUUUUGGAGGAUUAGGAUUAUACGUGCCAGUUAGCCUAAGAUGGUGAUCUAGGUGUUAUCUUCCUCUCAAUUGUUGUUCGUAAAUCUGUGAAAUCCUCCACUUUGGUUCAGUAGUUGGAGUGCUUGGAGAAUCAUUAAUCAUCUUUGAAUUGGAAGACAAUCAGUAUUCAACAAGGUUACAAGGAAAUUAGUGACGAAGAAGAUGAUGCAAACAAGAAACCGUAAAAGGGCGAUUUUUAGACUGUUGAGGAGGACAGAGACAAGGAAAAAGGUAAGAAGAAGAAAUAAGGAAAUCUCUCAUCUUAUUAACAACUAGCAGAAUCCUAUCCGGUUUGCAGACGACCAAAGCUGGUUAUAUAGGAGGAAAACGUCUCUUUCUACAGAAGUUUAACCAUGGCUGGGAUUUGGGAAGACUAAUUGUGAGGUCAAGUACUUCUAUGUUGAGCGGCAACUUGAAUUCAAGGCAGUCCUCUUCAUGUCUGUGUAGUAGGACUAUAGGAGUAUGUUUUAUGAGAGGUCAUGUGCUCAGAAUAUGUAUUUUUUUUUUUCUUUUU